UACGUAGGGGGCAAGCGUUGUCCGGAAUCAUUGGGCGUAAAGCGCGUGUAGGCGGUCUGGUAAGUCGGCUGUGAAAGUCCAGGGCUCAACCCUGGGAUGCCGGUCGAUACUGCCGGACUAGAGUUCGGAAGAGGCGAGUGGAAUUCCUAGUGUAGAGGUGAAAUUCGUAGAUAUUAGGAAGAACACCAGUGGCGAAGGCGGCUCACUGGCCCGGUACUGACGCUGAGGCGCGAAAGCGUGGGGAGCAAACAGG
rnacentral:rRNA from 1 species